ACGGGUGAGUAAUAUAUCGGAACGUGCCCAAUCGUGGGGGAUAACGUAGAGAAAUUUACGCUAAUACCGCAUACGAUCUAAGGAUGAAAGCGGGGGAUCGCAAGACCUCGCGCGAUUGGAGCGGCUGAUAUCAGAUUAGGUUGUUGGUGAGGUAAAAGCUCACCAAGCCGACGAUCUGUAGCUGGUUUGAGAGAACGACCAGCCACACUGGGACUGAGACACGGCCCAGACUCCUACGGGAGGCAGCAGUGGGGAAUUUUGGACAAUGGGCGAAAGCCUGAUCCAGCAAUGCCGCGUGCAGGAAGAAGGCCUUCGGGUUGUAAACUGCUUUUGUACGGAACGAAACGGCCUUUUCUAAUAAAGAGGGCUAAUGACGGUACCGUAAGAAUAAGCACCGGCUAACUACGUGCCAGCAGCCGCGGUAAUACGUAGGGUGCGAGCGUUAAUCGGAAUUACUGGGCGUAAAGCGUGCGCAGGCGGUUAUAUAAGACAGUUGUGAAAUCCCCGGGCUCAACCUGGGAAUUGCAUCUGUGACUGUAUAGCUAGAGUACGGUAGAGGGGGAUGGAAUUCCGCGUGUAGCAGUGAAAUGCGU
rnacentral:rRNA from 1 species